GCCUUUUGCAUAGGUACGUGGAUAUGCAGGAGAUGGAGGGAUAGAGAUUAUGUGCAGGUAGAUAAGAUUAGUUUAAUUU